rnacentral:rRNA from 1 species
AACGAACGCUGGCGGCAGGCUUAACACAUGCAAGUCGAACGCCCCGCAAGGGGAGUGGCAGACGGGUGAGUAACGCGUGGGAAUCUACCGUACCCUACGGAAUAGCUCCGGGAAACUGGAAUUAAUACCGUAUACGCCCUACGGGGGAAAGAUUUAUCGGGGUAUGAUGAGCCCGCGUUGGAUUAGCUAGUUGGUGGGGUAAAGGCCUACCAAGGCGACGAUCCAUAGCUGGUCUGAGAGGAUGAUCAGCCACAUUGGGACUGAGACACGGCCCAAACUCCUACGGGAGGCAGCAGUGGGGAAUAUUGGACAAUGGGCGCAAGCCUGAUCCAGCCAUGCCGCGUGAGUGAUGAAGGUCUUAGGAUUGUAAAGCUCUUUCACCGAUGAAGAUAAUGACGGUAGUCGGAGAAGAAGCCCCGGCUAACUUCGUGCCAGCCGCCGCAGUAAGAC